GAAUGUUUGAUGGUAGUUGCUGGCGGCGUGAGUCCCUUAUGAACGGUGCAUCUUUAUUUAAUUGAUCAUCAAUGUGCAUAUUCAAUUUUUUACCAAGUCGCCCAAAUAGAUUAACUGAGAAUGUGUGGAAGAAUAGAAGCAUGGAUCAAACAUUGGUGAGUUGUUAAUGCCUCAUAUGACACUUGCUAAUUUAUUAUUUUGACCUGUUUUGCAUAAAAAAUGGAAUAUUUUUUUUAAUUACAAUUGUAAACCUAUUGAAUAAAAGUAAUAAACAUAGAUUUCCCAUUGGUUAAUCAUACUUUGUCAUCACCUAUUAUCCUUUUUACACCAAAUUGAUAAAGUUUAAUUCUUUUAUUACCGUUUCAGGAAGAAACUAUAGAAACUAUAAACUGAAUAAAGAAGGUACAUGAAUUUAGCUUUACCUUCGGUUCAUAAUUCGCCAUAAUCUCUUUACUCUGUGUACAUCAAAAACACAAAUUGUAUCUUUAGUUAAAACUUUGAAUAUGAAUUUGUGAACUGAAUGAAAGAAAGUACAUGAACGUAGGUUUACCUUUGGUUCAUCAUGCUUCGUCAUCAGCUUCUUCUAAUUUUUACACUAAAAACAUAAAGUUUUUUUUAUUAAAUAUUUUUAUGAUGAAACUGCAAGCUUAAAGAAAGUUACGAAAUUUGAUUUUACCUUUGUUAACCAUGAUUCGCCAUCAUCUUCUAAUCCUGUUUACAUCACAAACAAGAAAAAAGAUUUUUUUAAACUACAUCCUUAAAGAUAAAUUAAAAAUAAAUUAAAUGUAUCUGGAUUCACCUUUGGUUCACCAUUGUGUUUGCUGGUUUUGAAAGGAGAGCAAUUGCGUGUAGCAAAAUAAGGUACUCCUUCUUUCAAGCCCCAGAUCAACUUAUAUACAUGUUUAUACAAAACUGCUUCCGACAGUUUCCAUGAUUUUUGGAGCCUUUUAAACUGCCUUUUUAGGGAGUUUUAAAUUCCUUAGUUUUUUAAAUUAGAACGUGGCCUUUAUGGAGUUUUUUAACAGCCUGUAAUCAUCCUAAGAUUUCGGAUGACGUGGGAAUCUGGGAAUGUAAACCUCCAAACCGGUUUUAAGGAGAAAACUAAAAUUAAUCAUCUAAAAUUACGGUAUUUAUCCAUGAUUUUGAAAAUCAUUAGAAUUAUUUUUAAAAAUUUUGUAGCUAAGAUACUUGUUUUACAUGUUUUAUUAACAGUUUUAUUUUAUUUAUUUUUUGCGGGUUUUACAUAUACAUUUUUUGUUUAGUUGUUCUAAAGUUCAUUGUUUAAAGGUUUAAAUUGUUGCUAAAGGCUUUUUAAUGUGAAUUCGCACAUGUUUGUUUAAGAGGUUGAAAUAGAAUUUUAAUUUGUAAUUUAACGGUUUAUGUUUUUAAUUAAAUUCUCAACUUUGUAGGUAACUUAUUUUAUGUUACAGAUAGAUAGAUCGUGGAUUUAUAUUUGUAAUUAAAUUUCCACUUUUUUAGGUAACUUAUGUAGAUAGAUCAUGGGCUCUGUUAACUACCCAAAAACUUAUAUAUAGAUAGAACGUGGAAUAAGGUCAAAGUGAACUGAAAAAAACCUCCCCUGCUUUUUCUGAAUUAUAAGGGCCAGGAUUUAAUCUUAUUUUGAUCAAAUGGCUGAGUUUGCAUUUUGUUCCCCUUUGACUAUGAGGGGAACCUAAGAAUAUAUAAAUAUAAUAUCAAUAUCUGUUAAUAAGACUGAAAUGGUUUCGAAAGUGAAACCAAACCACAAGGACUGAAAUCACAAUUUUUAAACUAAUGGACUGAAAUAGUAAUUUUUGACAAACAACAGGGACGAAAACAGUAAUUAACUCAAAAAUAAAAAAAAAAGGUGUUUAAACAAUCAAAGAGAAGAGACGCGGGAAAGGGAAAAUAGAGCAGAGUUCGGAAACCUUUGAUACUCAACACUCAUUACCAGACUUCUCCGUCAAACGGAGAGGUGACGUCAGCCGAGGAUGUUAUGCCAUUUGUUAUACAUCCGAUUUGCAAAUUGUACUAGUAAUUUAUUUCAGGUUCCCAAAAAUUAUCGUUAUCUUUUAGGAUUUCUGAUUAAAUUAAAAGUGCGUAUAUUUCAUGAA